rfam:Sorangium cellulosum So0157-2, complete genome.
UCAUGGGUCCGCCGACAGCGCGCCGUGAACCCCGCCAGGCCCGGAAGGGAGCAACGGUAGCGGAAAGCGGGUGUGGCGGGCCCACUUGCU